rnacentral:sRNA from 1 species
AAAGCCUUGCCGCCAGAACCCUCAAAAAGUCAACUGGGGGGAGCUCGGACACCGUCGCCAGUCGGCGACUGUAACGUCGCGCAUAGCACGGGGACACAUAUCCGAAACGCUGAUACCGACAGGGGCCAAUAUCUGCCGGGGCAAUCUU